ACUAGCUAUGGAUUGGUUGUUUGCUCAUGAGAUGAUCCAGAUAUCAAUGAACCCUUGAAGCACCACAAGGGCACGUACUAGGAGCCACUACUGUUGAUAUACCGCCUGCUCAGACAGAUGGCAGUGGUGAUGUGACUGUGGGAGGUGGAGGAGAGCCUGGAGGAGAGCCUGGAGUAUCGGGGGAGACCGGAGAGGCUCCACAGCAGGCUCAUUCUCUCAAAUGUGAUGAAUGUGGGAAGUUGCUUAAAGGAGAGAUGGAUGCCCAAGCACAUGCAGCCAGAACAAAACAUUCCCAAUUCUCAGAGUCGGUAGAAGAAAUCAAACCAUUAACAGCUGAGGAAAAGG